rnacentral:tRNA from 1 species
CGCGGGAUGGAGCAGCUAGGCAGCUCGUAGGGCUAAUAAUCCUACGGUCGUAGGAUCAGAUCCUGCACCCGCAA